GAUGAACGCUGGCGGCGUGCCUAAUACAUGCAAGUCGAGCGAACAGACGAUGAGCUUUCUCCCCUGACGUUAGCGGCGGACGGGCGAGUAACACGUGGAUAACCUACCUAUUAUUCUUGGAUAACUUCGUGAAACCGGUGCCGAUACUGGAUAAUAUAUCGAACCGCAUGGUUCAAUAGUGAAAGACGGUUUUGAUGUCUCUAAUAGAUGGAUUCGCGCCGCAUUAGCUAGUUGGUAAGGUAACGGCAUACCAAGGCGACGAGGCGUAGCUGACCUGAGAGGGUGAUCGGCCACACUGGAACUGAGACACGGUCCAGACUCCUACGGGAGGCAGCAGUGGGGAAUAUUGCGCAAUGGGCGAAAGCCUGACGUAGCUAUACCGCGUGAGUGAUGAAGGUCUUCGGAUUGUAAAACUCUGUUAUUAGGAAAGACCAAAUGUGUAGGUAACUAUGGACGUUUUGACGGUACCUAAUCAGAAAGCCCCGGCUAACUACGUG
rnacentral:rRNA from 1 species